rnacentral:rRNA from 1 species
GUCUACAGCAUGCUAUCCUGAACAAGCCUGAUCCCAUCUGAUCUCGGAAGCUAAGCAGGGUCGCGCCUGGUUAGUACUUGGAUGGGAGACCAUCUAGGAAGACCAGGUGCUGUAGGCA